AUGCGAUUGAUUUUCAUUGGACAGAUCAGGUAUAGGAAUGAUGCUCCACUUGUGCUACAUGGAAUCACUUGCAAGUUUGCAGGCGGAGAUAAGAUUGGUAUAGUCGGUCGAACAGGAUGUGGCAAGACAACGUUAAUUGGCGCAUUGUUUCGUCUUGUUGAACCUGCCGAAGGGAAAAUAGUUAUAGACUCUGUGGACAUCAGUACAAUAGGCUUGCAUGACUUGCGUUCACGUUUGGGUAUCAUUCCACAAGAUCCCACACUUUUUAAGGGUACAGUAAGAUACAAUCUAGAUCCUCUUGGGCAAUUUUCAGAUCAGCAAAUAUGGGAGGUUCUUGAUAAAUGUCAACUUCUUGAAGUUGUCCAGGAGAAGGAACAGGGAUUGGAUUCAUAUGUUUUGGAAGACGGGUCGAACUGGAGCAUGGGCCAAAGGCAGCUCUUCUGUCUGGGACGCGCGCUUUUGAGAAGAUGUCGCAUCUUAGUUCUUGAUGAAGCUACGGCCUCUAUAGACAAUGCAACAGAUGUUGUUCUUCAGAAAACGAUCCGGACAGAAUUCAAAUAUUGCACUGUUAUUACAGUGGCCCACCGUAUACCAACAGUUAUGGACUGCGAUAUGGUACUUGCAAUGAGCGACGGGAAAGUAGUGGAGUUUGACAAACCUACAAAGCUCAUGGAAACUGAAGGAUCUCUCUUUCGUGAGCUGGUCAAGGAGUAUUGGUCCACAUCGAACGGAACUGUUUAG
rnacentral:rRNA from 1 species